UGCCCUACAGUUCCCCGCCCGGGAACAAGGAGCUGGUAUCAGGCACACCUUAUUGAUGCCCACGACGCCUUGCUUAGCCACACCCUCAAGGGAACUCAGCAGUGAUAGACAUUAAGCCAUAAGUGAAAACUUGACUUAGUCAAAGCUAAGAGGGCCGGUAAAACUCGUGCCAGCCACCGCGGUUAUACGAGAGGCCCAAGUUGACAAACACCGGCGUAAAGCGUGGUUACGUAAAAACUCACACUAAAGCAGAACAUCUUCCAGGCUGUUAUACGCAACCGGAGACAGGAAGUUCAACCACGAAAGUGGCUUUAUCCAAACCGAACCCACGAAAGCUAAGGAACAAACUGGGAUUAGAUACCCCACUAUGCCUAGCCCUAAACAUUGAUAGUACUAUACACCCACUAUCCGCCCGGGUACUACGAGCAACAGCUUAAAACCCAAAGGACUUGGCGGUGCUUUAGAUCCACCUAGAGGAGCCUGUUCUAGAACCGAUAACCCCCGUUCAACCUCACCCUUCCUUGUUUAACCCGCCUAUAUACCGCCGUCGUCAGCUUACCCUGUGAGGGGCUAAUAGUAAGCAAGACUGGUACAGCCUAAAACGUCAGGUCGAGGUGUAGCGUAUGGAGGGGGAAGAAAUGGGCUACAUUCGCUAUUACAGCGAACACGAAUGAUGAGCUGAAACGUUCAUCUGAAGGAGGAUUUAGCAGUAAGCAG
rnacentral:rRNA from 1 species